CAGACAACAGUCACAGCUGUGGGGAUGAAUGGCUCCAUGUCCUCCAGGGAAGAACAGCUGGAAGCAUGUUACUAAACACCUGCUGGAAGCGGGGUUUUGGUGGCCGCUUACUCCCAAGCAGUAGAGUGGUGACCGCCCUGGAGGGAGUGUGGCCCCAGGAAAGACCCCAGGCUUUAGUGGCCCCCAGGGACGAGGAGCCCAGCCCAGGACACAUCAGCACGCCAAGAAGCUGCCUCGCCCGUUGGAGGCCUCGGCUCCCAGGGCUGUUAUCACAGCAGGAAGAGCAGUGCAAAGUGUCGGGUCCAGUGGGCCUUAGUGACGGGGUCAGAUUACUGCUGUGAGUAGUAUGGGGUGUGCAAGAAAGGGUAAUAAUUCCACUCUGGCGCUUUUAUUUUUAGAUAAAUGGAUUUCAAAUCUAAACUGAUCCUAAUAUAGCCUUUAAUGUUGUAGAACAGACUUUCUUUUUUAGUUUUAGUCUAUUGACCAAGGAAUCACUUCUUACAGAUUUCCAGCAGUGUCAUUCACAUGCAUUAAAAUGUUUAAAAUGAAA